GCCUACUCUUAAAGGACCACGUCUUAUCCUUUGUCUCCUGAAAGCAUAGCCCAGAACACAGGAGACUCUCCACCAGUAUUUGUGUACUGAAUAAAGGAAUGAAGGAAACCUUCAGGCCUUCCCUCCUCAGAAGAAUCCUAAAAGGAACUUGAUUCAGGGAAAGACUUCAACUCAAAGGGGCUGGUAGGCCAUUUUAAAUGGAACAGAUGGAAGGCCAUCUUCAAAGGUACUGCCUACCUGAACCUGCCUUGUCCCAAAGGACACACUUCAAUCUGGGGAGAGUUUAAAGUUGUAGACAUAUCCAUUUUCAUUUAAGGAAUAUGAAGAUCAGGGAGGCAAAAUAUAGAGAUAUAGAGAGGAAAAACUGAGAGAUGAUCAGAAAUUCAGACGCAUUCGGAAUGAGCACCCUUGACCAUACCAAGAACAAAGACUCUAUAAAAAUGUGAAGUCUUAUUAUUGUUCAUCCAUGUUCUACGUGGGAUCCACCCAAGACAUUGAAAACUGUACAGAACAGGGUGAAAUUGAAUCAGAUCAUUCUGUACUCCUAACAAGGUCCACCCCAUGAGAGACUUGCAGCAGAAUUAAUGACACUGUAUAUUUUCCUCUACUAACAACAACAAGAACAACAACAACAACAAUCUAGGAAAAUCAAAGGCAGCCCGACAUGGAAAAAAACACAAAAUGAAUAUUUGGAUUACAAAUAGUGUGAUGGGAAGAACACACUGCCAAAAGUCCACCUAGUAUGUUGAAAUUACUGUUUCUAGCACAUAUAAGGUAUGAUUUUUUAAUGUUUUAAACAUUCAUUAUUGGCUACUUUAACUAUUUUUCCUUGGUAACUGCAGCAGAAAUUGAAAAAUGAUAGAAAAGCAGAAAAGAAUGGCAUAACUUAUCAGAUAUAUGUAAGUGUGUAAACUUUGGGUUUUAUUGUUUAGCUCAUCUAGUAACUUGGGAAAAUAAUAGCUAUUCCAUAAGAUUGUUGAGAAAAUUAAAUGAGAGAACACAGUUAACAGACUUAGCUGAAUGUGUAGCAUAUAGAGGGCACUCAGGCAUCCCUGGCAUACAGGUAUGAGUCUGCAAUUAACAAGGUAAUGGAAAGAGUGUUGCAGAUCUCUGACCGAAGUAUUUUCUCCUGGGCUUACAGUAUUUAUCAGCUAUCAUAAUACAAAUUUGCUGCCAAUUUGUACUGACUUCUGAAAAAUACUUUAUCCAUUGUCUUCUUACAUCAGAAUCAACUCCCUAAAUUCUUCAGCACUGGCUUUGUAAACUGGUUUCUGGUCUUUGUUUCUGUCAACUUACCUAUAAAAGGAUACAAAAACUGAAGAACAGAGAGGAGCAGAUACCCUGGAAAGCCGAAAGUUUUAUUGACCAAAGACUGAGUCUCGGAAUGUUUUGAUUGUGGAGUUUAUAGAGUUCAGGCUGAAGUUUUAUAAAAAUAACUUGCAGCAGCAUGGAGGACUGAUGAGAAAGUAGACAGAUGCUGGAAGCAGGAAAACUGAACAGCAGGUCACUGGCCAAGGAGAAUCAAAGAGCUAGAUGCUGAGAAUAAUGCAGCCAUAACGUGAAAUCUUUUUGAGGCUCCGUGGUGGUCUUAAAAUAUAUCCACAAAUUUUCUGACAUCCUCUCUUCAAGAAGUGGAGCUUAAUUCCCUUUCCUUUGAGUGCAGACCACUCACUCUGGGAGAAAGCAACUGGCUAUGUCAUGAGGAAAUUGAAACCACCUAUGGAGAAAGGCCCACAUGGUGAGAAAGUAAAGCCUCUUCCCAAUACCAAAAUUCUGUAAGUCUGCUACGGUGACAUUUCUGGUUAGGAGUCAGAGUGGAUGGGACACUGAGCAAUAAGAAUGCAGAGACAUGAUGGCUGAAGCUGGAGCUUUUCCCUGAAGCAACCACCUGUUGGAAACUUCAUGUUGAAGAUGACUGAAUAAUAAGACAGAGGGGUCUGGGUCCCUGGUGGAUAUUCCAGAUCUGGGUGUUCGUGGAGAUAUGAGAAAGCAAUAAACUUCAAUUUUGCUUAAAUAGCUGUUACUUGGGGCAUUCUGUCAUUUAUGGACA
rnacentral:lncRNA from 10 species